rnacentral:rRNA from 1 species
GACGAACGCUGGCGGCGUGCUUAACACAUGCAAGUCGAACGGGUCUGCCCUGUUUUUUGCGGGGUGGGUCAGUGGCGAACGGGUGAGUAACACGUGAGUAACCUGCCCCUCACUUCUGGAUAACCGCUUGAAAGGGUGGCUAAUACGGGGUGUUCUGGCUGUGCCGCAUGGUGUGGCUGGGAAAGAUUCACUUUUGUGGUGUUUUGGUGGGGGAUGGGCUCGCGGCCUAUCAGCUUGUUGGUGGGGUGAUGGCCUGCCGAGGCUUUGACGGGUAGCCGGCCUGAGAGGGUGGGCGGGCACACUGGGACUGAGAUACGGCCCAGACUCCUGCGGGAGGCAGCAGUGGGGGGUAUUGCACAAUGGGCGGAAGCCUGAUGCAGCGACGUCGCGUGAGGGAUGGAGGCCUUCGGGUUGUGAACCUUUUUCGCCGGUGAAGAAGGUCCUGCUCUUUGUGGUGGGGUUGACGGUAGCCGGGUUAUGAAGCGCCGGCUAACUACGUG